rnacentral:rRNA from 1 species
UACGUAGGGUGCAAGCGUUAAUCGGAAUUACUGGGCGUAAAGCGUGCGCAGGCGGUUAUGUAAGACAGAUGUGAAAUCCCCGGGCUUAACCUGGGAAUGGCAUUUGGGACUGCAAGGCUGGAGUGCGGCAGAGGAGACUGGAAUUCCUGGUGUAGCAGUGAAAUGCGUAGAUAUCAGGAGGAACACCGAUGGCGAAGGCAGGUCUCUGGGCUGACACUGACGCUCAUGCACGAAAGCGUGGGGAGCAAACAGG